GCAUGUCGCACUCCUCCUUCCAUUCAGUAAAGCUCUCAGGGCCCAUAAAGCUCGCUUUGUCCACUCUGUUACCCGAUGUUGCCAAUCCAUGACAAGGUAAUAACCCUACCACUCAACAACUUAAAUUAUCAAUAACUCACAAAGAGACCUCACCAUUUGCAAUUUCUCUUGGUAGCUCGGAAGUUUCCUCAGCCAAAAUCCUUCUCUUUGGUGAGUACUAUGCAUAGCUUUUAUCUUUCCGCUAACUCUGAUAUCAAAAGGGUUUGUGUGUACCAAACAAGGCAACUAAUGUAGAUGCGAAGCGAAGUGUUGAGGUAAAAGUAAAUCGCCUCAUUUUUUAACAUCGAAAUAUGAUUGAUAAAUGUGCCUAAAUCCUAACGUAACAGUUUUUAACUCAAUUCAUUGCCUGCUUGUUAUCCAAAGUUUCUCCUUCAGCUAACUAUUCACUAAUUGUAUUUUCCUUCCAAGAAUUUAGAAGACAGUUCUUCUCAGAGAUGGGAUUCAUCAGCUAUGUUUGAAGCAAGAUCUGCAAUUUCAAAUGUCUGCCAACCUCAAUCAUUUGUGAAGAAAACCAGACCAGGAUGUGACUGAUAGUGAAACAAAUAUGGAAGGGAAACAUGUAUAAAAUCAUUAUUAUAUGCAGAAACAAGAAAGGAUAAAAACAUGCAUAUCAAUGUAGAACAAAUGAUCACGAGAGCCAUUGCCACUGCUUUUGAAAUCCAACUGCUGAUUCAUAGAAGUAAAAUCAUUAUCACGCACUGGAUCAUUAUCGAUGAUGAGAAUUGUUGUAAAUCAUCAACAAAUAAAAGUGCAGGCAUCUUUCCUUCUUGUCUCGGAAAAUUUAGAUUCGUGUUAGCAGAUUUCAAAAUACACGAAAAAAUACGAUCAUCACACAUAAUCAUGUAAUUAAUUCGUAAAUCUAUGCAAAUUCAGAUAAACAAUUGCGGAUACAGAGAGAGUAUUUGAAGCUAAAUUGAAAAUUAUUUUCAAUUCAAAAUCAAGUCAAGGAGAAGAAAUCACCUUG
rnacentral:lncRNA from 1 species